rnacentral:rRNA from 1 species
UACGUAGGGGGCAAGCGUUGUCCGGAAUCAUUGGGCGUAAAGCGCGUGUAGGCGGCUCGAUAAGUCUGCUGUAAAAGUCCAGGGCUCAACCCUGGAAAGCCGGUGGAAACUGUCGAGCUAGAGUCCGGAAGAGGCGAGUGGAAUUCCUGGUGUAGCGGUGAAAUGCGCAGAUAUCAGGAGGAACACCAAUGGCGAAGGCAGCUCGCUGGGACGGUACUGACGCUGAGACGCGAAAAGCGUGGGGAGCAAACAGG